rnacentral:rRNA from 1 species
AGUGAGCGCUGGCGGUAGGCCUAACACAUGCAAGUCGAACGGCAGCACAGUAAGAGCUUGCUCUUACGGGUGGCGAGUGGCGGACGGGUGAGGAAUACAUCGGAAUCUACUUUUUCGUGGGGGAUAACGUAGGGAAACUUACGCUAAUACCGCAUACGACCUACGGGUGAAAGCAGGGGAUCUUCGGACCUUGCGCGAUUGAAUGAGCCGAUGUCGGAUUAGCUAGUUGGCGGGGUAAAGGCCCACCAAGGCGACGAUCCGUAGCUGGUCUGAGAGGAUGAUCAGCCACACUGGAACUGAGACACGGUCCAGACUCCCACGGGAGGCAGCAGUGGGGAAUAUUGGACAAUGGGCGCAAGCCUGAUCCAGCCAUACCGCGUGGGUGAAGAAGGCCUUCGGGUUGUAAAGCCCUUUUGUUGGGAAAGAAAAGCAGCAGGUUAAUACCCCGCUGUUCUGACGGUACCCAAAGAAUAAGCACCGGCUAACUUCGUG